rnacentral:rRNA from 1 species
AUUGAACGCUGGCGGCAGGCCUGACACAUGCAAGUCGAGCGGAUGAAGGGAGCUUGCUCCUGGAUUCAGCGGCGGACGGGUGAGUAAUGCCUAGGAAUCUGCCUGGUAGUGGGGGAUAACGUCCGGAAACGGGCGCUAAUACCGCAUACGUCCUGAGGGAGAAAGUGGGGGAUCUUCGGACCUCACGCUAUCAGAUGAGCCUAGGUCGGAUUAGCUAGUGGGUGGGGUAAAGGCCUACCAAGGCGACGAUCCGUAACUGGUCUGAGAGGAUGAUCAGUCACACUGGAACGGAGACACGGUCCAGACUCCUACGGGAGGCAGCAGUGGGGAAUAUUGGACAAUGGGCGAAAGCCUGAUCCAGCCAUGCCGCGUGUGUGAAGAAGGUCUUCGGAUUGUAAAGCACUUUAAGUUGGGAGGAAGGGCAGUAAGUUAAUACCUUGCUGUUUUGACGUUACCAACAGAAUAAGCACCGGCUAACUUCGUG